UGUGUAUGUGUUUGUGUGUAUAUAUAGAUAUAUACAGUAUAUAUAUAUAUAUUUAUAAAUCACACACACACACACACG